GAACCUCUGGUGUUCCGGUUGUCACGCCAGUGGCAUUGCCGGGUAGCUAUGUUCGGAAAAGAUAACCGCUGAAAGCAUCUAAGCGGGAAACUUGCCUCAAGAUGAGAUCUCACUGGGAACUUGAUUCCCCUGAAGGGCCGUCGAAGACUACGACGUUGAUAGGCUGGGUGUGUAAGCGUUGUGAGGCGUUGAGCUAACCAGUACUAAUUGCCCGUGAGGCUUGACCAUAUAACACCCAAACA
rnacentral:rRNA from 1 species